rnacentral:RNase_P_RNA from 2 species
CCUGGGAGAAGAUAUACUAGCAUUGGAGAAAUUCGGAGUAAUCUCUUCACCCAUACAUACCCAUCCAUCUUCCCCCCGUCGCGUCCUUGCCGGCUGGAAACAGUCACUCGGAUGCUUUGGGUUCCGGUUGAUGGUGGAGCUGCCCGUGAGGGCCUGGCGUGACAACACGUCUGCAAUUGGCAUCAGAAAAGCAGGUCCGCGGGCCAAGAAAGGGGUCUUUAUCUUUCUUUCCUUGGGGGAGGGGUGAUAUCGAUCUCGUCUUGUUUUUAGCCUGUGUUGUUUCCUCUGGGAGAGCCUUUGCGAAGAUUCGUGUGAGAGCACUUGAGUGCGAUACGCAGCAUGCUUGGUGUCCAUUAUUACACUUUAUUGUGUUUCUUUGGCCCACAGUAUAAUUCGAUUCCGAUUACUCUGAUGAGG